AUUGAACGCUGGCGGAAUGCUUUACACAUGCAAGUCGAACGGUAGAGGGGGCAACCCCUUGAGAGUGGCGAACGGGUGAGUAAUAUAUCGGAACGUGCCCAGUCGUGGGGGAUAACGUAGCGAAAGUUACGCUAAUACCGCAUACGAUCUAAGGAUGAAAGCGGGGGAUCGCAAGACCUCGCGCGAUUGGAGCGGCCGAUAUCAGAUUAGGUAGUUGGUGGGGUAAUGGCCUACCAAGCCGACGAUCCAUAGCUGGUUUGAGAGGAUGAUCAGCCACACUGGGACUGAGACACGGCCCAGACUCCUACGGGAGGCAGCAGUGGGGAAUCUUAGACAAUGGGGGAAACCCUGAUCUAGCCAUGCCGCGUGAUCGAUGAAGGCCUUAGGGUUGUAAAGAUCUUUCAGCGGGGAAGAUAAUGACUGUACCCGCAGAAGAAGCCCCGGCUAACUCCGUG
rnacentral:rRNA from 1 species